AUGCUGGCUCAGUGUCCCCUGGGGGGCUGGCUCACUGCACCCACCCAUUCUGGCUGCCGGCUCCUCCUGGCAGGUGCUGGAGCUCCUCUAAGCACCGUGCCUGCUGCCUGCAGCAAGAAAGAAAGAGAGCGGAAGCCCAAGGAGUCGGCCCGGACUGGCUGGUCUCACAUUACUGUCAGCAGUGGCCUGUCAACCGCUUAUUUAAAGCUCACAAUGUCUGCUCUUGUUGCACAGACAGACCUGCCAUUAGGAGCUUUCCAGACCAAACCUCGGCUGCUCUGGAGAACAGUAAUUAAAUCAGCAGACCACGAUGUCUGCUUUCUGUUCUUUUCACACCUGUCUGCCAACAGCUGGCUUACUGGGUACAAGGAAGAUCUUGGCAGGGCCCAGACUGCAGGGUCAUCAGGUCAUUCAUACAACCUUCUGCCCUGCCCCUGUACCUCUUCUCAUCAACAAACAUUAAGGAGAAGCGAGAGCUGCUCUGCCCUUGUUCUUGAAGCAAGCCCUUUUGCUUAGGAAGCAAAGCCCUUUGGAAAGCUGGUGUUUCUGUCAAUGAUGCUUACAAAGCAGUCUCAGAAAAGGACACCGGGGUGGCUCAGCGGCUGAGUGUCUGCCUUCGGCUCAGGGCAUGAUUCCGGGUCCAGGGAUCAAGUCCCACAUCAAGCUCCCUGUGAGGAGCCUGCUUCUCCUUCUGCCUGUGUCUCUGCCUCUUUCUCUCUCUCUCUCUCAUGAAUAAAUAAAUAAAAUCUUUUUUUAAAAAGUCUCAGAAAAUGUCCUUUUUGUUUAUCAGUCAGUCCCCUACCCUUAUCUCAGCUCUUCACACUUAGUAGAAGCUCAUUCAUGCUGGGUGAAUGAAUGAAAUACUGAAUAAAUGCUGGAUAGAGUGGUUGCCUAUCAUUUACUUGCCUGACAAAGCACUAGGUAAGGAGCAAAACGUCAGGAACUAUAUGAACCUGGGAUGAAAUCCUGACUCCAUACGUAUUUUGGCCAAUUGGUUAACCUUUCCAAGCACCAUCUCCCCACUGGUAAAAGGGUAUGCUAGUGCCCAGCUCACAGCACAGUAGUGAGCAGUGAAUGAGGUAGGUAACUGAUGCCAUGUAUUUCUUUUCCUCUACUACUUCCUCUAUGUCUUUCCAGCCUUUUCCAUGGUCCUCUCCCCCUCUCACUGCCUCUCUGGCCUUGACUUCUAAGUCUCUUGUCCCUCAGCCCCAACCUUACCAGGAGGCCUUUAAUUCUCUCCAAGCUGCCACCACUCAUUGAUCACAACAUUCCUCCCACAGAGGGAGCCUACUUUGUUUGGGUCCGUCCUCACUGCCUUCCCCACCUUUGGCUAUAUGAACCACCCAGAAUUCUUAAAAGCACCCACCCAUCCUGGAGACGCUCUCAGAAUAUCAGGUGCAUACAGCACCUGGCCCACAGUGAUACCACAAUCUUUUCUGGGGCAUUUGCAAUAAAUUCCUAUUUUUGGACCACCUACAUCAGCAUCCCUUCUUAAUUUUAAACAAAUUAAACAAGUGUUUGUUUAAAAUGAAGAUUCGUAGGUCCCAAUCCUGACUCAUCUGAUCUCUGCAAGGGGGGCCCUGGAAGCUGCAUUUUCAUUAACUAUCUCAGGCAACUCUAUUGCUCAAGGCCAAGGCUUGACAGUGUAGAAUAUUUAGUCCCCUGGAGUGCUGGGAGGGUUCUUCUACAUCACUCAAAGGUCCUCCCUUUAAUCUGUAUAAAAUUUCAUUUUACAUCAGAAGAUUACUUAGCAAAUACCUACCUGGUAAAGUUAUUACUGAAUUACUAGUAUUUGGGACUUGUUAACUCAUGUUAAAAUUUACUAAGGUUUACAGUGGACCCCAACUCACUGUUCUCCCAAGGAAGAAGGCAGCAAUGCAGUAUGAGGUCUUCCUGUGGACUGCGUGAGGCACAGGCCCAAAAAAGUCACCACAAGUCCCCAGUGAGUCUAGAAUGACUUGCUGCAACUAUAGGACUAUCUUGAGCUGGUCAUGAUUUUAAAUUACUGUUCUUCUUGGUCUUUGAUGAUAACUUACGGUUAGCUCCUCUUUGUUGAUUAACUUAUUAUGGGUUGCAUGGGGAGCCCUCUAGUUUGUAGGGGUGCAGAUUGAUAUCAACGCAAGCGUGGCCUACACAUACAUUCUCAGGAGCUAGACUUUAAGACAUGCAACCUGCUGUUCAAACAUAAGUAAUCUUAAAGCUAAAGCAGUUGUGUAUUUAUAUAAUCUCUCCAAAAUUUACUUUAGAUUAAUAUUUUAUUGUUGUAACCAGGUUCAUUUUGCACGCAGCAGUAUAAAGGGUAGGGCUGGCUGGCUGCAGGCAGAGUCACAUGACCAGCACUCUGCUGCACACAGCUACAUAGCUCCUUUUUAUCUGCUUUGCACCCCAGGCCACCUCCUCUUGUCAGAACCGCGAGGUCCCUGGGCCUCUACCUCACCCCCCUACAGUCCACUUUCCCCAGUACCCACCCCCAGAAAAGUACAGCAUGGCAAUCCUAGGUGGGAGUUUCUCUGGCUCUCAGAAAUAGCAGUUAGAAGCAUCCCCAGGCCCUAUCUUCUUUCCCCUCUUCAUGGGGGGGGGGGGGGGGUGAGGGGGGGGCUUGACUUCUUCCACACCCUGCAGAGGAAUUACAGAGCACAACAGCAGCCUGAUAUCCCUGGAAAAGUUUCAAGAAUGACUCCCACAUGUUGACCCUCUGUCCUUUGUCAGACACCACGCUGGGCUGUUAUAUACAGGUUCUGAAAUCCUUACCACAGCAGCAGCCUGCAAGGCAGGGCUAUGUCUCCUUCAUGCAGAUGAGGGCUGAGGGUCAGAGCCCACUAAACUGAGCUUCUCACCCGAGAUCCCCUGGCUCAGAUCCUGAGGAGAUCAGCCCCUGACAGCGCUCCCCCCUCCACCCCCUCCCCCCGCCCCAUGCCUUCCUUCCUGUUUCUACUCUACCUUAUCUCAUUUAUGUUAACCUGCACAAAAAUAGCAAGAUCCUGCUGGUUUGCAAAUGUCAAACAUUUAAAUUUUUUGUUAAAUACUGAGGCUCAUUUAUAUACAGUGAAUGCAUAGCUGAUUUGCAACACUCCCUGAGUUUUGAUAGAUGCAUAACGCAUACCCCAUUUAACAUACAGAAUGUCUCCUCACCCCAGAAGGAUCCCUGUGCUCUCUCCCAGUCAAUCCCUACUCCCCCACCCAGAGGAACUCAUUUAGUUUUCAGAUCUUCCAUUUUGUUCAGGCAGCUGGAAGCAAGGGAAAACAGAGUAGCAGGAGCUGGACAAAGCCAGGGAAGCACAAAUAUUGUCACCGUCCUAGCUACAGCCCGCAGCAAUGGUAUGUCCAUCCACCUUCAGCCUAGUGAAACAACAUACUUUUGCUGUGUACUUUCCUUUCCUUCCAAAGGAAACAACUUCCAAGAGACAUCCUGGGAAGCUCAGGCACGUCUCCCUUGGUCUUCUGCUCACCAGGGCUCAGGGCCAGCCACACCCUUGGGGCUCUUCCAUGGUCCUCCCUAGCCCUCAGCUGCUGCCCUGAGGCCCCCUCCUCAUGCCACAGCUCCAGGGUCCCCAGCAGAGCCCUCUCCGGUGUAGCUGGAGCAAGUUAACAACAAACAGCACUCCUGGGGACAGGCGAGAGGCAGGGAUGAAGAAACUGCCCAUGCACCCUA
rnacentral:lncRNA from 1 species